UCGCCACUAGCCUAUUAGGGUCGGCUAGAAACCAAGUGAGGCAUGAGCGCGUGCCUCACUUCCUACGCAACCAGAGAAUUUAGGUUCGGGGACUUGAUUACACUAAUUAACCAAUUAGUGCCCUUUCGGUACCUAAUCUUGUUCAUUUUAACAAAAUGAUUUUUGGCAGGCAAUUUGGAUUGAUUUCAUAUUUAUCCACUAACAUGUGAGGUGAUCAUGCAGGUGCGUAAUCAUUAAAGUAAAUUAUAACUACCAAGAUCUUAAUUGCAGUAAAAUUAACACAUACCACUAAGCAAUUGCAAACAUACUUAAAUAGGUGAAUUAAACAUGCAAUAUAAUCAAUACAAGCAAUUUAAGGCCUAAAUACACUAUAAAUGCAAUACAUGGCCAUUCCUAAACAAAACCUACAUUUUUUGGAUUUUCGAAAUUUUUUAAUUUUUUU
rnacentral:lncRNA from 1 species